rnacentral:rRNA from 1 species
UCAACAGGGGAUUGCCUCAGUACGGCGAGUGAGCGGCAAAAGCUCAAAUUUGAAAUCUAGCACCUUCGGUGUUCGAGUUGUAAUUUGAAGAUGGUAACCUUGGGUUUGGCUCUUGUCUAUGUUCCUUGGAACAGGACGUCAUAGAGGGUGAGAAUCCCGUCUGAUGAGAUGCCCAUUCCUAUGUAAGGUGCUAUCGAAGAGUCGAGUUGUUUGGGAAUGCAGCUCUAAGUGGGUGGUAAAUUCCAUCUAAAGCUAAAUAUUGGCGAGAGACCGAUAGCGAACAAGUACAGUGAUGGAAAGAUGAAAAGAACUUUGAAAAGAGAGUGAAAAAGUACGUGAAAUUGUUGAAAGGGAAGGGCAUUAGAUCAGACUUGGUGUUUUACGAUUAUCUUCUCUUCUUGAGUUGUGCACUCGUAUUUCACUGGGCCAGCAUCGAUUCGGAUGGCAAGAUAAUGGCAGUUGAAUGUGGCUUCACUUCGGUGGAGUGUUAUAGCUUCUGCUGAUAUUGCCUGUCUGGAUCGAGGGCUGCGUCUUUUGACUAGGAUGCUGGCGUAAUGAUCUAAUGCCGCCCGUCUGAAAACACGGACCA